GACGAACGCUGGCGGCGUGCUUAACACAUGCAAGUCGAACGGUGAAGGGACCAGCUUGCUGGUUCUGGAUGAGUGGCGAACGGGUGAGUAACACGUGAGUAACCUGCCCCCUUCUUCUGGAUAACCGCAUGAAAGUGUGGCUAAUACGGGAUAUUCUGGGUCUGUCGCAUGGCGGGCCCGGGAAAGAUAUUGCUUCGGUGGGGGAUGGGCUCGCGGCCUAUCAGCUUGUUGGUGGGGUGAUGGCCUACCAAGGUGGUGACGGGUAGCCGGCCUGAGAGGGUGGACGGUCACACUGGGACUGAGACACGGCCCAGACUCCUACGGGAGGCAGCAGUGGGGAAUAUUGCACAAUGGGCGCAAGCCUGAUGCAGCGACGCCGCGUGAGGGAGGGAGGCCUUCGGGUUGUAAACCUCUUUCGCCAGUGAAGCAGGCCUGCUCCUUGUGGGUGGGUUGACGGUAGCUGGAUAAGAAGCGCCGGCUAACUACGUG
rnacentral:rRNA from 1 species